GACCUGUGCACCAGAUCUGGGGUACCAUUAGGUAGACUGAUAUCCAGGUAAGUUCAAAGGAAGAGGGCUGAUGCCAAGUCAGAUGUAGGAGCAACUCUUCUCAAUUCUUCUAUUCCCUACCUUAGGAGAGAUCAUCUUUUGCAAAUACUAGCUAGCAGUCACAACAGGAAUCAGGAGUUCUGAAAGGCCUAGAGCUGAGAGCAAGCUUUUGGGGUGGUGGAAGCUUGCAACCUGAUUUUGGUUCUAAUUUCAUUUUGAGUCUUCUUUUCAGAUUGUGGAUCACAUGUCUUGAACUACGAAUGGAAAGAUAAAAUCAGAGAGAAAGUCUUUACCUUUUCAAAGCCGGACAACUUUUAGUGUCUUGGUGGAGCCACCCAACCCAGAGCAGAUACAGAAAGGCAAUGGGUUGGUUCCACAAAUCCCCUGAAGCCAUGCCCAUGUCAACCAUCAUCCUUCUGUGUGGACAUCUCUUGGGCUCCUCACAUCAAUGGGCUUUUCUAUUGAAUCUUU